rnacentral:rRNA from 1 species
GACGAACGCUGGCGGCGUGCCUAAUACAUGCAAGUCGAACGCAGUGGGGACGGGUGAGUAACACGUGGGUAACCUCCCAUCAGAGGGGAUAACCCUUGGCAACAGGUGCUAAACCGCUACUGAUGGAUGGACCCGCGGUGCAUUAGCUAGUUGGUGAGGUAACGGCUCACCAAGGCCACGAUGCAUACACGACCUGAGAGGGUGAGCGGCCACACUGGGACGGAGACACGGCCCAGACUCCUACGGGAGGCAGCAGUAGGGAAUCUUCGGCAAUGGACGAAAGUCUGACCGAGCAACGCCGCGUGAGUGAAGAAGGUUUUCGGAUCGUAAAACUCUGUUGGUAGGGAGGCGGUAUCUAACCAGAAAGCCACGGCUAACUACGUGCCAGCAGCCGCGGUAAUAC